rnacentral:snoRNA from 1 species
AUGGGCCUAAUGAUGAGAAUAUGUAAAUUAUCUCAAAACGGUCUGCUGAGAAUUCCUUGAUGUGAGAAAUAUUCUCUGAAGCCCUU